CCCUUAGAUGUUCUGGGCCGCACGCGUGCUCCACUGAUGCAUUCAACGAGUCUAAAACCUGGUCUGAUAGGGCUGGGUAAUCUUUUGAAAGUGCAUCGUGAUUGGGAUAGAUGAUUGCAAUUCUUCAUCUUCAACGAGGAAUGCCUAGUAAACGCAAGUCAUCAGCUUGCAUUGAUUACGUCCCUGCCCUUUGUACACACCGCCCGUCGCUCCUACCGAUUGAAUGAUCCGAUGAAUACCAUGGAUUGAGAGUACGAAUAGGUUCGCUUAUUUCUGCUGCUCGAGAAGUGGAGUAAAUCUUAUCAUUUAGAGGAAGGAGAAGUCGUAACA
rnacentral:rRNA from 1 species